ACUCCAAAGAACACAUUUAACAGCCGGGAAGAAAAUUGUAGGAAAAGAGAGCACUUUGGCACGGAAGGGAAUGCAAACUUGAUCUUGACUUUAAGGUCAAAGCAUUUUCAGAAUGUGCAGUCAGCAGAGAAUUGAAAAAAAAAAUCAAUGUGAAACAUAUUAGAGAAGAAUAAGGGGAAGAGUGAUGCAGAAGUGCUGGGAAGUCAUGCAGGGAUUGGAAACCACAAAGAUUCUACAGAAAGGUCUAUCGCCCUGGUUGGAGUGCAGCAGUGUAAUCAUAGCUCACUGCUGCCAUGAACUUCUGGGCUCAAGCGAUCCUCCCACCUCAGCCUCCCUGUGUGCUGGGAUUAAAAGUGUGAGCCACCGUGCCUCAUCGUAAGGGUCUUAAAAGAAACCCUAUUUCAUCCAAUUGGAUGGUGCUUUUUCCAGACCCACAAAUGGCUGCCCAUGGACCAAGCAGUAUGUACUUCCUCCAUUCUGAGCCCAUGAAAACCCCAGACUCAGUCAGACUCUGACACUCAUCAGGAUGACAAGCCUGCAAAUAGGAUCUACCCAUUUUGGGUAUGCACUCCACUGAGAGCUAUUCUGUCACUCAAUAAAGCUCCUUUCUGCCUUGCU
rnacentral:lncRNA from 1 species